AUGUCUUCCUCCACCUCCUUCCAGCCAACCCUCAGUGGAGGAGUCCCAGAGAAACUCUCCCGCACCAACUAUGUCCUGUGGCGGACACAGAUCACGCCGCAGCUGCGGGGCGCCGGCUUCUUCCACUACGUCGAUGGCACGGGGACCGAACCGGCCAAAAUCCUCGCCACCAAGGAUGCUGCGGGGAAGGACGCAUCCACGCCAAAUCCUCUCCAUCCGAUCUGGGUGAGGGAGGACCAGCAGGUCCUUGGAUACCUGCUCCAAAACCUCUCCAAGGAGGUGCUCGUCACGGUGACCACGAUC
rnacentral:rRNA from 1 species